UGUCAGUCCCUUGCCUCACCCAGCCACAGAGCGGUGAUUGGAGGCUGUGCUCUGGAGGAGGUUGUACCUAAGGGGGGGGGCUCAGCAAUGGGGGGGGCUGUACUUCUCGCUCAGAGGAGGUGAUUUGCCCAUUGUCUUCCAUCCCAUUGCUCUGAACUUCCCUUUUGGCAUGUGCAGAUGGGUCUAACAUCCCUGCCUCUUGGCCAGACAUAUCACCCCAGCAGCAGCAGCACCCUGCCAGGAACUCCCAGCAGCAGCACCAGCUGAGGUAGAAGCUGUUGUAGCUUGGUCGUGACGCUGAGCAGGCCCCUGGCUCCCUGCAUGCCCAGCCCUGUGCUGCCAGCAUUGUACCCUGGCAGUGAAGUGGGUACCACGGACUCCUGAACAGCAGGGCUGGCCCCUAAGGAUGCACGAGCAACUUUCUGAUCAGGAGAGUGCAGACCAGGCUGUGCCACUGAUGAAUUCUACCCAACUCAGAUUUCCUGGCAUCUCCAGCCCGCCUUUGCUGCUGCUACCAAACCUGAAGGCCAGUCUAUCUGAGCAUGAAGCCACAUGCACUGCUGUAUCAUCCUGCUGCUAAUAACAGUAACAGAGAGGCGCAUAUGCCUAACGACAAGCCAUGGGAGUGAUCAUUUAGUGGCAGACCCAGCCACACCGCUUGUGCCCAUUCCGGGGGUCCUGCGUAUGUUCACAUCCGGCCCAGCGUCCACAGUCCCCCUACUGGCCUCCUCUGCCAUGUUCUAGCGUAACGCUGUAUGAAUGCUCUCUCCAGUCACAUCUCUCAUGUACCUUCGGGUACCACUUUCUGGCCAGACUUGUGCUAAGAAUCCUGAGACCUGCCCAGAAACAGUCACCUGGCUAGGAAGGUGAUAAUCUUCAAGAGCAGGUAACGCUGAGGUGAAUUUUCCAAGGCCUUUCUAGCUGCCCUCUGAAAAGCCACAUCACAUGCAGGGGGGGGGGUUAAGAGAGAGCGCUUUCUCCCAGAGCUGGUCACCACUAGAAAAUUAGGUUGUGUUGGAGGAGUCAUGGUAACAGACCCCAUGGCAAACACAACUCAGCUGUCAGCACAGAAAGGGACCAUUGUGUUUCCCAUCAUGUCACCUGGAUAUAGUUAAAAACCUGUUGGAACAACAGCGUUAACCACGACCCGCUGACGCGUUGUUAAACCAACUGUCCAUGCCGAUGUGGGCCACAGAGUGUUUGUUAACAUUACUCCUGAGCGUGAAUGUCUCAUACAGCCUAAUUGUCUAGUAAAUGCCCACCUUGCCCCACCCUCCACGCCGUCAAUGGAUGUUAUUGCACUAAGAACUGAAUAGGACAGAAAUCUGAAACCUGGCUACAGCUGAGGCUGUGGAACAGUGCAAUAGUUUGAGUCAAGCUAAUGACUCAGUGAACUUUCCCUGAAAUCCCAUUUCAUGCCAUUUGAGCAUAAGAACAACAUAAUAACAGAGAAAUAAUCAACUGCCAAACUGAACUGCCCUUUGACAACAGCGCAGGGUUAACUUAAUAGAUCCAUUACUUCCAGCUAGGCCUCGACACACUUUUUCUCCUUAGAACUGCAAAUGUAAAAUGAACAGAAUUCACUAAUGUUCAGAACUAUA